rnacentral:rRNA from 1 species
CGCUUUUUGUUUGCUUAUAAAAGGUAAAGUCUGCCCAAUGAGAUAUUAAAUGGCCGCGGUAUUUUGACCGUGCGAAGGUAGCAUAAUCAUUAGUCUAUUAAUUGUGGACUGGUAUGAAAGGCUAGAUGGUAAAAGGCUGUCUUUUUUAGUAAAAUGAAUUUUAAAUUUUUGUGAAGAUGCAAAAAUAAAAUUAAGGGACGAGAAGACCCUAUUAAGCUUAACAUGUAAAUUUUAGGUAAGAAAAUUAAAAGGAAAUGUUGUGUUGGGGUGACAGUAGAUAAUAACAUUUAUUAAAGUUAAAUAAUAUAAUUAGAUUAUUUAUGACCCAAAAAGUUUGAUUAAAAGAAUAAGUUACUAUAGGGAUAACAGCGUAAUCUUAUUGGAGAGUUCUUAUUGAUAAUAAGGGUUGCGACCUCGAUGUUGAAUUAGGAUACCCUUUAGGUGCAGAAGUUUAUUAGGGUGGUCUGUUCGACCAUUAAAAUCCUACA